GGGCCCGCACAAGCAGCGGAGCGUGUGGUUUAAUUCGAUGCUACACGAAGAACCUUACCAGGGUUUGACAUGCAAGUGGUAGGAAACCGAAAGGCGACCGACCCUUCGGGGAGCUUGCACAGGUGCUGCAUGGCUGUCGUCAGCUCGUGUCGUGAGAUGUUCGGUUAAGUCCGCUAACGAGCGCAACCCUCGCUGUGUGUUACAAGUGUCACACGGUACUGCCGGUCUUAAGCCGGAGGAAGGUGGGGAUGACGUCAAGUCAGCAUGGCCUUUAUAUCCAGGGCUACACACACGCUACAAUGGUCUGUACAAUGGGUAGCCAAGCCGCGAGGCGGAGCCAAUCCUGAAAGCAGGCCUCAGUUCAGAUUGCAGUCUGCAACUCGACUGCAUGAAGCCGGAGUUGCUAGUAACCGCAGGUCAGCAAUACUGCGGUGAAUACGUUCCCGGGUCUU
rnacentral:rRNA from 1 species